rnacentral:rRNA from 1 species
GUGCCAGCCGCCGCGGUAAUACGUAGGGACCAAGCGUUGUUCGGAUUUACUGGGCGUAAAGGGCGCGUAGGCGGCAUGACAAGUCACUUGUGAAAUCUCUGGGCUUAACCCAGAACGGCCAAGUGAUACUGUCGCGCUAGAGUGCGGAAGGGGCAAUCGGAAUUCUCGGUGUAGCGGUGAAAUGCGUAGAUAUCGAGAGGAACACCUGAGGUGAAGACGGGUUGCUGGGCCGACACUGACGCUGAGUGCGCGAAAGCCAGGGGAGCAAACGGGAUUAGAUACCCCAGUAGUCC